rnacentral:rRNA from 1 species
UGGUUUACAUCGAGCUCGGUACCCGGGGUAUCCUCUAGAGUCGACCUGCAGGCAUGCAAGCUUCGAUUAUAACUAUAGUGUCACCUAAAUAGCUUGGCGUAAUCAUGGUCAUAGCUGUUUCCAAGCCUGACGCAGCCAUGCCGCGUGUGUGAAGAAGGCCUUCGGGUUGUAAAGCACUUUCAAUUGGGAGGAAAGGCUCACGGUUAAUAACCGUGAGCUGUGACGUUACCUUUAGAAGAAGCACCGGCUAACUCCGUGCCAGCAGCCGCGGUAAUACGGAGGGUGCAAGCGUUAAUCGGAAUUACUGGGCGUAAAGCGCGCGUAGGUGGUCUGUUAAGUCGGAUGUGAAAGCCCCGGGCUCAACCUGGGAACUGCAUCCGAUACUGGCAGACUAGAGUGCGGGAGAGGGAGGUAGAUCUCUAUGUGUAGCAGUGAAAUGCGUAAUCACUAGUGAAUUCGCGGCCGCCUGCAGGUCGACCAUAUGGGAGAGCUCCCAACGCGUUGGAUGCAUAGCUUGAGUAUUCUAUAGUGUCACCUAAAUAGCUUGGCGUAAUCAUGGUCAUAGCUGUUUCCA